CUUCCAUCUUCGACUGACUUCAAUUCGUUCAGGUUGAAAUGACGCAUCAUCCUUUGUUUAUGGGCUAUUGAUCUUAGGAGAGCAGUUCCUCGUGUUUCUUAUAGCAAGUCCAAAGUGAUCUUCUUUUCAUCUUCAUUAUCCGUAUAUGAAUAAUAAAUUAUCCAAGUGGAAGGUAUACCAAGUUCUACAGGAAGGACUGCCUCAGAACCAUAGACUAGAGAGAAAGGAUUCAUUCCUCGUUUACCUCUAUUAAAAUUGUGGCUGGGCUUAUCGCAUAUGCUGAUGUUAGAUAAACGCUGGGGUAGCGGACUAAAGAGCCUUAUUGAUCGUGGUUGUCUUAUCGCAUAUGCUGAUGUUAGAGGUUGAGGUGGUUGGGCUUAUAUGGAAUCUGGAGUGUGUGGAAGGUAGAAGGUGUUACAAAUGAAAAGAGACCUUGGGAGCACUAAUUUUUCCUACUUGUUUGCUCUACAACCAGAUGCCUUCACAAAAAAUAGCCGUUAUAUUCAACUUUUUGUAUAAAAAAUAGUACUUGUGGAUCGUACGUCAUACGUAAUUGAUGAUAUUAUUGUAUAAAGAAUAAUUUCUAAUGUAAUAUUCGAUCAUAUGUUACGAAUAUAUAUUGUAUUAUUGUUUUUCAAGAUUGUAUA